GAGUUUGAUCCUGGCUCAGAUUGAACGCUGGCGGCAGGCCUAACACAUGCAAGUCGAGCGGGGUUUUCGGACCUAGCGGCGGACGGGUGAGUAAUGCGUAGGAAGCUGCCCGAUAGAGGGGGAUACCAGUUGGAAACGACUGUUAAUACCGCAUAAUGUCUACGGACCAAAGUGUGGGACCUUCGGGCCACAUGCUAUCGGAUGCGCCUACGUGGGAUUAGCUAGUUGGUGGGGUAAUGGCUCACCAAGGCGACGAUCCCUAGCUGGUUUGAGAGGAUGAUCAGCCACACUGGGACUGAGACACGGCCCAGACUCCUACGGGAGGCAGCAGUGGGGAAUAUUGGACAAUGGGCGCAAGCCUGAUCCAGCCAUGCCGCGUGUGUGAAGAAGGCCUUAGGGUUGUAAAGCACUUUCAGUGGGGAGGAAGGGGUUGUAGUUAAUAGCUGCAAUU
rnacentral:rRNA from 1 species